AUUGAACGCUGGCGGCAUGCCCUACACAUGCAAGUCGAACGGUAACAGGUCUUCGGAUGCUGACGAGUGGCGAACGGGUGAGUAAUACAUCGGAACGUGCCUAGUAGUGGGGGAUAACUACUCGAAAGAGUGGCUAAUACCGCAUGAGAUCUACGGAUGAAAGCAGGGGAUCGCAAGACCUUGUGCUACUAGAGCGGCCGAUGGCAGAUUAGGUAGUUGGUGGGAUAAAAGCUUACCAAGCCGACGAUCUGUAGCUGGUCUGAGAGGACGAGCAGCCACACUGGGACUGAGACACGGCCCAGACUCCUACGGGAGGCAGCAGUGGGGAAUUUUGGACAAUGGGCGAAAGCCUGAUCCAGCAAUGCCGCGUGCAGGAUGAAGGCCUUCGGGUUGUAAACUGCUUUUGUACGGAACGAAAAGCCCCGGGUUAAUACCCUGGGGUCAUGACGGUACCGUAAGAAUAAGCACCGGCUAACUACGUGCCAGCCGCCGCCGUAACAC
rnacentral:rRNA from 1 species